UACGGAGGGGGCUAGCGUUGUUCGGAGUUACUGGGCGUAAAGGGUGUGUAGGCGGUUGUUUAAGUUUGGUGUGAAAUCUCCCGGCUCAACUGGGAGGGUGCGCCGAAUACUGAAUGACUUGGAGUGCGGGAGAGGAGAGUGGAAUUCCUGGUGUAGCGGUGAAAUGCGUAGAUAUCAGGAGGAACACCAGUGGCGAAGGCGGCUCACUGGCCCGAUACUGACGCUGAGGCACGAAAGCGUGGGGAGCAAACAGG
rnacentral:rRNA from 1 species